rnacentral:rRNA from 1 species
UACGUAGGGUGCAAGCGUUGUCCGGAAUUAUUGGGCGUAAAGAGCUCGUAGGCGGCUUGUCGCGUCGGCUGUGAAAACCUGGGGCUCAACCCCGGGCCUGCAGCCGAUACGGGCAAGCUAGAAUUCGGUAGGGGAGACUGGAAUUCCUGGUGGAGCGGUGAAAUGCGUAGAUAUCUGGAGGAACACCGGUGGCGAAGGCGGCAUCCUGGACCAACACUGACGCUGAUGAGCGAAAGCCAGGGGAGCAAACGGG